rnacentral:rRNA from 1 species
GCGUGAGUGACGAAGGCCUUAGGGUUGUAAAGCUCUUUUGGCGGGGACGAUAAUGACGGUACCCGCAGAAUAAGCCCCGGCUAACUUCGUGCCAGCAGCCGCGGUAAUACGAAGGGGGCUAGCGUUGUUCGGAAUUACUGGGCGUAAAGAGCACGUAGGCGGGCCAAUUAGUUGAGGGUGAAAUCCCGGGGCUUAACCUCGGAACUGCCUUCAAUACUGUUGGUCUUGAGUCCGAGAGAGGUGAGUGGAAUUCCUAGUGUAGAGGUGAAAUUCGU